UCCCAGGGGGCCUAGUGGUUGAGGACUGGGUAUUGUCACUGCUGUGGCUCAGGUUCAAUCCCUGGCUUGGGAA
rnacentral:tRNA from 1 species